rnacentral:rRNA from 1 species
GAUGAACGCUGGCGGUCUGCUUAACACAUGCAAGUCGAACGGAAUCCUUCGGGAUUUAGUGGCGGACGGGUGAGUAACGCGUGAGGAUCUGCCCAUAGGUUCGGGACGACAGUUGGAAACGACUGCUAAUACCGGAUGUGCCGGAAGGUGAAAGCUUUAGUGCCUAUGGAUGAGCUCGCGUCUGAUCAGCUAGUUGGAGUGGUAACGGCACCCCAAGGCGACGAUCAGUAGCUGGUCUGAGAGGAUGAGCAGCCACACUGGGACUGAGACACGGCCCAGACUCCUACGGGAGGCAGCAGUGGGGAAUUUUCCGCAAUGGGCGAAAGCCUGACGGAGCAAUACCGCGUGAGGGAGGAAGGUCUUUGGAUUGUAAACCUCUUUUAUUAGGGAAGAAAAAAUGACGGUACCUAAUGAAUAAGCAUCGGCUAACUCCGUGCCAGCAGCCGCGGUAAU